rfam:TPA: Bos taurus chromosome 5, whole genome shotgun sequence.
UCCCUAGUGGCUCAGUUGGUAAAGAAACUGUCUGCAAUGCAGGAGAUCUGGGUUCAAUCCCUGGUUUGGGAA